CUACGGGUCGCUCCAGCAGGGAAUAUUGCACAAUGGACGGAAGUCUGAUGCAGCGACGCCGCGUGGAUGAUGAAGGCCCUCGGGUUGUAAAAUCCUUUUCAGGGGGACGAGGAAGGACGGUACCCUUGGAAUAAGCGUCGGCUAACUACGUGCCAGCAGCCGCGGUAAGACGUAGGACGCAGGCGUUAUCCGGAUUUACUGGGCGUAAAGCGUCUGUAGGAGGAAUGGUAAGUUGGACGUGAAAGCUCCGGGCUCAACCCGGAGAGGUCGUUCAAUACUGCCAAACUAGAGGGCAUCAGAGGAGCGUGGAAUUUCCGGUGUAGCGGUAAAAUGCGCAGAUAUCGGAAGGAACACCAAUGGCGAAGGCAGCGCUCUGGGAUGAACCUGACGCUAAGAGACGAAAGCUAGGGGAGCGAACAGGAUUAGAUACCCUGGUAGUC
rnacentral:rRNA from 1 species